rnacentral:rRNA from 1 species
CCCUUAGAUGUUCUGGGCCGCACGCGCGCUACACUGAUGCAUUCAACGAGUCUAAAACCUGCUCUGAUAGGGGUGGGUAAUCUUUUGAAUGUGCAUCGUGAUUGGGAUAGAUGAUUGCAAUUUUUCAUCUUCAACGAGUAAUGCCUAGUAAACGCAAGUCAUCAGCUUGCAUUGAUUACGUCCCUGCCCUUUGUACACACCGCCCGUCGCUCCUACCGAUUGAAUGAUCCGAUGAAUAUCAUGGAUUGAGGAUGCAAGUAGGUUCGCCUAUCUUCAUCUUCGAGAAGUGAAGUAAAUCUUAUCAUUUAGAGGAAGGAGAAGUCGUAACA